UUCAGACGACGAAGCUGAAGAUCUGGACGUGGAAGAGGUCGAAGCUGCCGAAGACAUCGAAGGUCUCAUCCCUGUCGUUGCAGAUGUUUCAUUAGAAGAGCGGGACACCGCAGGCAGUGGGGAAGGUGAGGAAGAAUCGUGAGUGCCCGGCAUUGGAAGUAAAACAGUUCAUAGAGACGAACAGACAGCGGCCUGCAGUCUGCAUUCUUUUCCGAAGUUUUUCCAUUCAAUACUACUGAAGGUUUCCCUGAAAUGUUCAAGUACAUUACGAACCCUGUUGUCAUCUGUUAGACAUUGUUCUGUCAAUAAGCAAAUAAAAAUGUAGACAAUUUCUCCACAUUGAACAAAAUCAAACCAUUACAUAUAUGAAGAUUUUUUUUUUAACUGUUCAUGUUAUCGUGACACACGUCUACCGAUUACAAAUUGUAAUUUAACGGAAGAAUAAAACACUAAGCUCUUC